CCUACGGGAGGCAGCAGUCGAGAAUCAUUCACAAUGGGGGAAACCCUGAUGGUGCGACGCCGCGUGAGCGAUGAAGUAUUUCGGUAUGUAAAGCUCUAUCAGCAGGGAAGAAAAUGACGGUACCUGACUAAGAAGCCCCGGCUAACUACGUGCCAGCAGCCGCGGUAAUACGUAGGGGGCAAGCGUUAUCCGGAUUUACUGGGUGUAAAGGGAGCGUAGACGGCUGUGCAAGCCAGAUGUGAAAGCCCGGGGCUCAACCCCGGGACUGCAUUUGGAACUGUGUGGCUGGAGUGUCGGAGAGGCAGGCGGAAUUCCUGGUGUAGCGGUGAAAUGCGUAGAUAGUAGGAGGAACACCAGUGGCGAAGGCGGCCUGCUGGACGAUGACUGACGUUGAGGCUCGAAAGCGUGGGGAGCAAACAGGAUUAGAUACCCGGGUAGUC
rnacentral:rRNA from 1 species